AAACUUAAAGGAAUUGACGGGACCGCACAAGCAGCGGAGCGUGUGGUUUAAUUCGUUGCUACACGAAGAACCUUACCUGGGUUUGACAUAUAGGUUGUAGGGAACUGAAAAGGGACCGACCCUUCGGGGAGCCUAUACAGGUGUUGCAUGGCUGUCGUCAGCUCGUGUCGUGAGAUGUUCGGUUAAGUCCGCUAACGAGCGCAACCCUCGUCGUAUGUUAUAUGUGUCAUACGAGACUGCCGGUAAAAAGCCGGAGGAAGGUGAGGAUGAUGUCAAGUCAGCAUGACCUUUAUAUCCAGGGCUACACACACGCUACAAUGGUCUGUACAAUGGGUAGCCAAGCCGCGAGGCGGAGCCAAUCCUGAAAGCAGGCCUCAGUUCAGAUUGCAGUCUGCAACUCGACUGCAUGAAGUCGGAAUCGCUAGUAAUCGCAGGUCAGCAUACUGCGGUGAAUACGUUCCCGGGCCUU
rnacentral:rRNA from 1 species